CUUUAUCCUGUUAUGUUCUUAAAUUCAAGCUGACUGCAGGCAUUCAUAUUUAUCCCUUGGCUGUACUGAGCCUAGAGAGACUCUUAAAGAGAGAAAUAAAGCCUCAGAGAGAAACUUUCCCCUUGCAUAUAAGGGUGAGCCAUAGCAAAUGGCCAGCAACCACCAGAGAUCUGAUUUUUUCUUUAUGUUCCUUUCUCCAGGGGACUCUGAGGAUCUGUAUGUGACCAAUAUUCUCUAUGAAAGGGAGGUAACUGAGAGGGAGAUCACUGGGGGAGAAGUGACUGAACUGGUAUGGAAGCUUUGCUUAGCACACAGUGCAAGUUAUGAGACUGCAGACCUUUUCAUGACACUCGUGUUUGAACUUCGACGUCUUUCUCUUGAGGCCUUAAGAGCACUAUGGCAAAGAUCUUCAUUUAAGUGCAGAGACAACUGGUAAGGCUCCUUUAGUAAUUGCAUUCAAAAAUAUACAGGAAAAAAAUGUUUUGCAAAUAUUUAAAAUAGU
rnacentral:lncRNA from 13 species